CCACCCUCACUUCUCUUAUUCAUUCCCCCAUUAAACCCUAAACCAUACCUCUACUCACGUAACUAGUAGGACAUAGCAGAGACCCAUGCAAUCAUCACCUUUUCUUUUUCUUUUCUUCUUUUGUUUAACUACUAUAUUAUAUCCUUUCUCCUUUUAACUUCAAAACUAAAAUUCAAUGUUUUCUCUCACUCUGAUUCAACCACAUCACGAGAUUAACCUCUCUCACCCACUCCACUAACACAUUGCUAUAUUCUCUACCAUUUAAUAUUAUUUUUCCCUUCCUC
rnacentral:lncRNA from 1 species